rnacentral:rRNA from 1 species
UAACGUGAGAGUUUGAUCCUGGCUCAGAACGAACGCUGGCGGCAGGCCUAACACAUGCAAGUCGAGCGAGAAGCCACCUUCGGGUGGUGGGCAGCGGCGGACGGGUGAGUAACGCGU